AAUGAUCGAGGUCGCGGCGGACGUAGC
rnacentral:sRNA from 1 species